rnacentral:rRNA from 1 species
UACGUAGGGACCAAGCGUUGUUCGGAUUUACUGGGCGUAAAGGGCGCGUAGGCGGCGUGACAGUCACUUGUGAAAUCUCUGGGCUUAACCCAGAACGGCCAAGUGAAACUGUUGUGCUAGAGUGCAGAAGGGGCAAUCGGAAUUCUCGGUGUAGCGGUGAAAUGCGUAGAUAUCGAGAGGAACACCAGAGGUGAAGACGGGUUGCUGGGCUGACACUGACGCUGAGGCGCGAAAGCCAGGGGAGCAAACAGG